GCCGGAAACCUUACCGGGGGCGACAGCAGGAUGAAGGCCAGGCUGACGACCUUGCCAGACGAGCUGAGAGGAGGUGCAUGGCCGUCGCCGGCUCGUGCCGUGAGGUGUCCUGUUAAGUCAGGGAACGAGCGAGACCCCCGCCCCUAGUUGCUACCCAGCCCUUCGGGGCUGGGGCACUCUAGGGGGACUGCCGGCGAUAAGCCGGAGGAAGGUGGGGGCUACGGCAGGUCAGUAUGCCCCGAAACCCCCGGGCUACACGCGAGCUGCAAUGGCGGGGACAGCGGGUUCCGACCCCGAAAGGGGGAGGUAAUCCCUUAAACCCCGCCUCAGUAGGAAUCGAGGGCUGCAACUCGCCCUCGUGAACGUGGAAUCCCUAGUAACCGCGUGUCACCAACGCGCGGUGAAUACGUCCCUGCUCCUUGCACACACCGCCCGUC
rnacentral:rRNA from 1 species